ensembl:lncRNA
GGGAACUAAAAUACUUUGGCUCUGGGUGAGGCACAAUUUGCACGGAGUUGGAAGGUGCACCUGUCAGUUGCUUGGUUUACCUAUACCUCAGAGCCCUGUAUCUUCCUGAAGGAGAAAGGGAACUAGUGCUUUGCAAGUGGGUCUCUCAUAAUCACUUAAUUAUGAUUAUUCAGACACAAAAGGAAAUUCUGGAAUUAGCAACCACAGUAAUCAGCAUUCUUCCCAUUUUGAAGAUGAGGACAUGUAGUACACAGCACAGGUAGUAUAUAGCAAAGCCCAAACUCAACAUGUCUGUGUGAUCUUAGCCCUGAGCUAUCAUUUCAAGAGAAGACAUCAAGAACUAAGGCCACAGGCAAGAAACAAAGAAGCUGGGAUUAGCAGCUUGUGACAUCAGAGAACACAGGCAACGUCUCGGAGCUCCACUGCGGCAAUGGAAGGAACUUAGAAGGAGGACAACCAGGCUUUCCCUGCCAUCUGGAGCCUAAAAACUGCCCUAAUCAACUCCUUUGCCCAGCUCGCAACCAGAGGAGAAAUGGAAAUAAUCAGUAAAUGAGAAAUCAGGGUCUAUUUGAGUGUUGAGUGUUUACAACAUGGUGCCAGAUAUUUGGAAAGAAAUAAGUGUGACUGAAGUAUGAAGAGGGGACUCUUUCUUUCACCUAAUAAAUGGUUUAGUGACGACUCAGUCACACCCCAAGGUCACUCUUGAAAUCACAGCCUUAUGAAGUGGCCCACGAGAAUCAGACCAGCUGCUAGUGUCUCCUUCUCUUCCAAAGCUCCCAGAAAGACAGCUGCCCCUUGGAAGAUUUAUUUCUUAAGCCAGGAGUUCUCAGACUUAGCAGUCUAUCUGUGCCACUGUGUUCCACAAAAGAUGGUGAGAAAUACUGUCUCCAUAUUACAGGUCCACCCUCCAACCUUCUCCAUCCUGCUUUCUGUCUCAGGAUUCUGCCCUUUAUGGACUACAUCAACUGGGCUCCCUGGCCCUUUGGAUUUGGCCAAUAAAAGCACCAAGAAGAGAUCAAAAGUCAAAAGAGAGACAGAUUUGGGCAUCUGUUCUCAUUUUCCUCCCUGCUGGACCACAGGAUGACAGUGGCUGUCUACAGUUCCUGUCCAGGGGGUCCUCUCUUAACACCUACACAUCUCAGCACGUUCUCAUAGCCACUCCCUCCCCUUGUACCUGUUUUCCACCAUUGCUGGCCCCAGAAACCUCAACAUCCCUGAAGAUUUUCCCCUAAACUUGCCCACAUCUUUGUAAAGAGGCCAUUGUUGAAAUCUAUUUCAUAACCCUUUUUGGUUUACCAUCUGUGUCCUGUUCCCCAGCUGAAACACAGUUAUGUCCAAACUUACUUUAUAAUCACUUAUGGAGCUUUAGAAAAAUAGAUUUCCAGACCCUACUGAAGACCUAAUGAAUCAGAAUCCCUAUUCUUGGAGCUAAGGAAUAUGUAACUUUAACAAACAACCCAGGUGAUUCUGAUCCAGCCAACCUGGCAAGCAUCCCUGGAUGAGCAUUUGGGAGCCACUGCUCUGCAGACCCUACCAUGCCAAACUGAAGCAUUUGAAAACAAACAGGACACUCCGGAACACAACCCCAGCUACCCUUCCCUCUAACACCACAGCAACCAACACACCAGAAAAAGAAGUGGACUCUCUAUGGGGACAUCCAAAGCAGAAGAAAACAAGCAUAUGGUCUACAGUGAUAGGAGAUGGUCCUGAGCACAUUAAGUAAC